GAUGAAGAACGUAGCGACAUGCGAUAAGUAAUGUGAAUUGCAGAAUUCAGUGAAUCAUCGAAUCUUUGAACGCACAUUGCGCCCGCCAGUAUUCUGGCGGGCAUGCCUGUUCGAGCGUCAUUACAACCCUCAGGCCCCCGGGCCUGGCGUUGGGGAUCGGCGGAGCCCCCCGUGGGCACACGCCGUCCCCCAAAUGCAGUGGCGGUCCCGCCGCAGCUUCCAUCGCGUAGUAGCUAACACCUCGCGACUGGAGAGCGGCGCGGCCACGCCGUAAAACACCCAACUCUUCUGAAGUUGACCUCGAAUCAGGUAGGAAUACCCGCUGAACUUAAGCAUAUCAAUAAGCGGAGGA
rnacentral:misc_RNA from 1 species